rnacentral:rRNA from 1 species
UACGAAGGGGGCUAGCGUUGUUCGGAAUCACUGGGCGUAAAGCGCACGUAGGCGGAUUUUUAAGUCAGGGGUGAAAUCCCGAGGCUCAACCUCGGAACUGCCUUUGAUACUGGGGAUCUCGAGUCCGGAAGAGGUUGGUGGAACUCCGAGUGUAGAGGUGAAAUUCGUAGAUAUUCGGAAGAAACACCAGUGGCGAAGGCGGCCAACUGGU